UCGGUCGACUUCAAAGCCCUCCUAGUGUGAGACAGUAAACUCGCCCGGGAGCGACUAACCCCAAAUAAACCUUUUAAUUCAGUUCAACUGUAUUUAUUGCAGCGGCGGAGGAGGAGCCAUUCAGUUAACUCGGAAUUAUGCGGCUUUUCAGGGACAACCGUCGCAAGCCGGACAUGUCGGAGCGCGAGUCCGCAGUCAGCAGAGCAGUUACGUUUGCGGGCACCUGUAUCUUUGGGCAGCUAGUCAGCUAAUGAGCAGCACUAAAGGGCAGCAGCAGCGUCCAUGGAGCAAAAGGAAUGUCAGGACCCUGUGCAUCCAGACGGGGACCAGCCUCAGCACCAACAGCCAACACAAAGAUAGCAGAGCCAUCUCAG
rnacentral:lncRNA from 1 species